rnacentral:tRNA from 1 species
UCUUCGAUGGUCUAGUGGUCAUGAUUUCCGCUUGUCAAUCCUCACGGUUUGCGAGCGCGGGAGACCGGGGUUCGAUUCCCCGUCGGAGAG